UAACGCGUGAGGAACCUGCCUCAAAGAGGGGGACAACAGUUGGAAACGACUGCUAAUACCGCAUAAGCCCACGGCUCGGCAUCGAGCAGAGGGAAAAGGAGCAAUCCGCUUUGAGAUGGCCUCGCGUCCGAUUAGCUAGUUGGUGAGGUAACGGCCCACCAAGGCGACGAUCGGUAGCCGGACUGAGAGGUUGAACGGCCACAUUGGGACUGAGACACGGCCCAGACUCCUACGGGAGGCAGCAGUGGGGAAUAUUGCACAAUGGGGGAAACCCUGACGCAGCGACGCCGCGUGGAGGAAGAAGGUCUUCGGAUUGUAAACUCCUGUUGUUGAGGAAGAUAAUGACGGUACUCAACAAGGAAGUGACGGCUAACUACGUGCCAGCAGCCGCGGUAAAACGUAGGUCACAAGCGUUGUCCGGGAUUACUGGGUGUAAAGGGAGCGCAGGCGGGAAGACAAGUUGGAAGUGAAAUCCAUGGGCUCAACCCAUGAACUGCUUUCAAAACUGUUUUUCUUGAGUAGUGCAGAGGUAGGCGGAAUUCCCGGUGUAGCGGUGGAAUGCGUAGAUAUCGGGAGGAACACCAGUGGCGAAGGCGGCCUACUGGGCACCAACUGACGCUGAGGCUCGAAAGUGUGGGUAGCAAACAGGAUUAGAUACCCUGGUAGUCCACACUGUAAACGAUGAUUACUAGGUGU
rnacentral:rRNA from 1 species